rnacentral:rRNA from 1 species
GUUCCAGAAUAAUCGGCUAUACAUUUUAAUUUUUAACUCUAUUUGUUGUUAUAUUACUUUUUUUUUAUUCUUUUUUAUGUUUUUUUUGUAAAAUGUUUUGAUUUUUUUGUAUUUUUUUGUAAUAUUUAAAAUUUGUUUUUUGAACUGGAUUAGUACCCAGGUAAUCAAAGUUUAUUAAUUCGGGAGUAAAGUUUUGUUUAAACCGAAAAAAUAUUGACUGACUUUAGAUUUUUCUUUGGAAUAUGUGUUUUUGGAGAGCCCUCUUUUUUGGUGAAUUUUAUUGGCACAUGUAUGAUUGUUUAGUUUUUAUGUUAUUUGUGUUGCUUUUUUGUUUUUUUGCAUUUAAAACAGAUAUAUAUUUGGCUUAUAAAUUUAUUUUUCAUGUAUUACUAUUAUUAAUUUUUUUUGGAUUUAUUUUUUAUUUUAUUUUUGAAAUUGGAAAAGAAAGUAAUUUUUUCUUUAUGUGUUAAUGAAUUUAAUAAAUAAAGUGGUACAAACCAUCCGUCAAU